GACGAACGCUGGCGGCGUGCCUAAUACAUGCAAGUCGAACGCAGUGGGGACGGGUGAGUAACACGUGGGUAACCUCCCAUCAGAGGGGAUAACACGUGGAAACAGGUGCUAAACCGAUACUGAUGGAUGGACCCGCGGUGAAUUAGCUAGUUGGUGAGGUAACGGCUCACCAAGGCAACGAUGCAUAGCCGACCUGAGAGGGGGUUCGGCCACACGGCGACGGAGACACGGCCCUGCGGCCUACGGUAGGUAGCAGUAGGGAAUCUUCGGGAAUGAACUAACGUCUGACCGCGCAACGCCGCGUUAGUGAGGCGGUUUUUCGGAUCUUAAAACUCUUUUGUUAGAGAAGCUGUAUCUAACCAGAAAGCCACGGCUAACUACGUGCCAGCAGCCGCGGUAAUUC
rnacentral:rRNA from 1 species